rnacentral:tRNA from 2 species
AUCUUCGUGGCGGAAAGGCAGACGCAGGCGUCUCAGACACGUCUCAUUCCCGGUUCGAAUCCGGGCGGGGAUACCA